GUUUCCAUAGUGUAGUGGUUUAUCACGUUAAGCCACACUUGAAAGGUCCCCAGUUCGAAACUGGGUGGAAACA
rnacentral:tRNA from 1 species